UGCAAGUCGAGCGGAUGAAGGGAGCUUGCUCCCGGAUUUAGCGGCGGACGGGUGAGUAAUGCCUAGGAAUCUGCCUGGUAGUGGGGGACAACGACUCGAAAGGGUCGCUAAUACCGCAUACGUCCUACGGGAGAAAGUGGGGGAUCUUCGGACCUCACGCUAUCAGAUGAGCCUAGGUCGGAUUAGCUAGUAGGUGAGGUAAUGGCUCACCUAGGCAACGAUCCGUAACUGGUCUGAGAGGAUGAUCAGUCACACUGGAACUGAGACACGGUCCAGACUCCUACGGGAGGCAGCAGUGGGGAAUAUUGGACAAUGGGCGAAAGCCUGAUCCAGCCAUGCCGCGUGUGUGAAGAAGGUCUUCGGAUUGUAAAGCACUUUAAGUUGGGAGGAAGGGUUGUAGUCUAAUACGCUGCAAUCUUGACGUUACCAACAGAAUAAGCACCGGCUAACUCUGUGCCAGCAGCCGCGGUAAUACAGAGGGUGCAAGCGUUAAUCGGAAUUACUGGGCGUAAAGCGCGCGUAGGCGGCUUGAUAAGAUGGGUGUGAAAUCCCCGGGCUUAACCUGGGAACUGCAUCCAUAACUGUCUGGCUAGAGUACAGUAGA
rnacentral:rRNA from 1 species